rnacentral:rRNA from 1 species
UACGUAGGGUCCGAGCGUUGCUCGGAAUCACUGGGCGUAAAGCGCACGUAGGCGGCUUUUUAAGUCAGGGGUGAAAUCCUGGAGCUCAACUCCAGAACUGCCUUUGAUACUGGGAAGCUCGAGUCCGGGAGAGGUGAGUGGAACUGCGAGUGUAGAGGUGAAAUUCGUAGAUAUUCGCAAGAACACCAGUGGCGAAGGCGGCUCACUGGCCCGGUACUGACGCUGAGGUGCGAAAGCGUGGGGAGCAAACAGG